rnacentral:rRNA from 1 species
GACGAACGCUGGCGGCGUGCUUAACACAUGCAAGUCGAGCGGUAAGGCCCUUUCGGGGGUACGACGAGCGGCGAACGGGUGAGUAACACGUGGGUGACCUGCCCUCAGCUCUGGGAUAAGCCUGGGAAACUGGGUCUAAUACCGGAUAUGACUCCAUGACGCAUGUUGUGGGGUGGAAAGCCUUGUGCGGCUGAGGAUGGGCCCGCGGCCUAUCAGCUUGUUGGUGGGGUGAGGCCUACCAAGGCGACGACGGGUAGCCGGCCUGAGAGGGCGACCGGCCACACUGGGACUGAGACACGGCCCAGACUCCUACGGGAGGCAGCAGUGGGGAAUCUUGCGCAAUGGGCGAAAAGCCUGACGCAGCGACGCCGCGUGAGGGAUGACGG